rnacentral:rRNA from 1 species
UAGAUGCGAGAGUAGAGCAUAUCAAUAAGCGGAGGAAAAGAAACUAACAAGGAUUCCCUUAGUAACGGCGAGUGAAGCGGGAAGAGCUCAAAUUUGAAAUCUUCAAGGUUCUACCUUGACGAAUUGUAGUUUAAAGAAGUGUUUUCUGUUAGAUGAGUAGCAAAAGUUCCUUGGAAUGGGACAUCAUAGAGGGUGAGAAUCCCGUAUUUGGUUAUUCAUUCUAGCUUUGUGAUACACUUUCAAAGAGUCGGAUUGUUUGGGAAUGCAGUCCAAAAUGGGUGGUAAAUUUCAUCUAAAGCUAAAUAUUGGCGAGAGACCGAUAGCGAACAAGUACCGUGAGGGAAAGAUGAAAAGAACUUUGAAAAGAGAGUUAAACAGUACGUGAAAUUGUCAAAAGGGAAGCGUUUGACACCAGUGUUGUUUUUCCGAAAAUCAAUUACGAAUGGCUUGAUUUUGUGUUGUAUUGACCUUAUCAGCUUUCUGCACUUUUUUCGAGUCUUUCUUAAUGCACUUUUCGGUUAACAAGUCAACAUCAAUUUCUUUUGUUGUAAAAGAGUAUUCGGAAGGUGGCUUUCUUUUCGGAGAAAGUGUUUAUAGCCCUAUACUUCUACAAUCGGAGAGAUUGAGGUCUGCAGCGUAGAUCCUUCGGGGUUAGAUACAUUUGUGCUAAGUUGUAGCUCUUCAUAGACAACUUGUUGACUAUGUUUAGUCAUGCGGCUUACUCGCUUGUGCUAUAUUACCUACGCUUAGGAUGUUGAGCGCAUGUCUCUCUC